AUUGAACGCUGGCGGCAUGCUUUACACAUGCAAGUCGAACGGUAACAGGCCUUCGGGUGCUGACGAGUGGCGAACGGGUGAGUAAUGCAUCGGAACGUACCCAGAGGUGGGGGAUAACGCAGCGAAAGCUGUGCUAAUACCGCAUGUGAUCUGAGGAUGAAAGCGGGGGACCGAGCAGCAAUGUUUGGCCUCGCGCCUUUGGAGCGGCCGAUGUCGGAUUAGCUAGUUGGUGGGGUAAAGGCCUACCAAGGCGACGAUCCGUAGCUGGUCUGAGAGGACGACCAGCCACACUGGGACUGAGACACGGUCCAGACUCCUACGGGAGGCAGCAGUGGGGAAUUUUGGGCAAUGGGCGAAAGCCUGAUCCAGCGAUGCCGCGUGCGGGAAGAAGGCCUUCGGGUUGUAAACCGCUUUUGGCAGGAACGAAACGGUGUCCGCUAAUACCGGGCGGUAAUGACGGUACCUGCAGAAUAAGCGCCGGCUAACUACGUG
rnacentral:rRNA from 1 species